UUUUUCUUUCUCUUCAAUUCUGAAUUUUUUGCCAGCCAUUUUGAUAAGAAAAACCAGCCAAAUGCACUUGACUAUAGAUUGUUAGUCCAUUUAAGCACUUGAUUGCAAAAAAUUAAAAUCUGAUUUCUUUCUUUUAAUAGUCAUUACAGCCAUGUUCUUGAAAUAAAAGCCUGUUGAUUUUGAAGCUUAGCUCACUGGAGCUUAUGUAAACUGUUUAUCUCCUGCAGUUGGUGGAUGAAGCAAUGUCAUGUCCUAUUGUUUUACUAUAUAUGCUGUGCUCUUUCCACUGGGGUAAUCCAAAAAUCAAAUCCUUAGAACCCAUUUUUUUUUAAAUUUAUUCUCCGACCUUAAAUUAAUAGGAGAUGUUUAAUCAGUAGUUCCAUCACUUUUUAAUGAUAAGAUGAAAGGUUAAACCAUUGGUAAAAUGAGAAGUUUAGUUAACAAAUUCACCUUUGCCGUAACUUCAUUACAGUCAAAACGGAUGGCGACAAUGGAAUUCAUGCUUAUAAAAAUUCAAUAUCAUUGUGUCUUACAAUCCGAUGGUUCUUUUGUUUUUCUCUUUCCAUCUUCUAAGUUUACACUAACUGUAUGUUUGUAGCAUCUUAAUAGCAGUCUAGCUUUUGUUUUAUUUGAUUUUCCAUGUUAACUGAUUGGGAAAUGUUGAAGAUUAUGUGAUUGUGUUACAUUAACUGUCUGCUCGAAAAUGGUAUGUUCAUAGGAAUUAUCCCACUUAUGCAAUUAUGAUGCCCUAGCAGGAGAAUCAAUUCCAAUCAGACU
rnacentral:misc_RNA from 1 species